GGGCUAUUAGCUAAGUGGUAAAGCAGCCGAUUCUUAAUCGGAAGAGCGUAGGUUCGAAUCCUACAUGGCCCA
rnacentral:tRNA from 1 species